GAGACGGAAACAGAGAGAAGCCGUCUGGCGGCUUUUCCCUUCUUCCUUCCACUCACUCAACAACCACUGAGCGUCCUUGCUUGGAGCUGUGCCGGUCCCUCGCGAGGUGAGCGAACAAGACAGAAGGGAGGCCUCCCUCCUGGAGCUUGCACUCCAGUCAGGGAGAAAAAAAAUGAAUAAUUAACUCAUUAAUUAGCAGCACGAUUACCAAUGCGAAUUAAUGACAAGACGACUUAAUUUUUUACAAGGACUCCAAAGGCAAAAUACAGGGUAUUAUAAAGACGAAGGGCAUGAGAUGUCACCCAGCCUGGGGCCUCAGGGAAGCCUUUUCUGCUGGGACCUCAAAGAAGCAGACCCCAAGAUGAAGCUUCUUGUGCAGGUGAUUUAUUAAGAAAGGACCCCCAAGAGAAAGAAACCGACAGCGAUGGCUCAAGAUUGGUCAGGAGACCCAAUUCUGCCCAAUGGGACCUGGGCGGGCUCUGCCGGAGAGCUUCGGGGACAUGUCUUCUCCUAAGAGACGGUCACAGAAUGGUACGGACUCUCCUCUUUCCCUCAACACGGUGGUGCUUGGGUGUGAGCCCUCAGAACUGCAGCUCUUUCAACCGACCUGAGGAUAAGAACCAACACUGAGAUCGCCAAAGCGGAGAGGUGGCCUGAACCCGCGUCCUGCGUGGCAUUGUGGAGUCAUCAUCAGCCAGCCCAGAAGCUCUCCCUACCCCUACACCGUCUGUGAUGUGAGAUGAUAAACAUCCUUUUCGCUUAAGCCAGUUUGAGUUGGGAUUCCUGUUCUGUGCUACAGAAUGCAUUGUGACCGAUUGGUGCUGGUGCCAUCAACUGCCCCUCCUUGUUCCACGGUCUUCACAGGUCUCCACCCCCAGGAUUCCAAGUCCAGUAGAAGGAAGAGCGCCUGCUUGCCCACCAGUGGGAACCCAAGUCCAGGGCUGGCUUUCAUUGGCCAAAGAGCACAUCCCUCAACCGAUCACUGUGGCCAAAGGGGUGAGAUUCUCCGAUUGGUUAGGCUCAAGUCACAUGCCCACCUGGAGCUCAAGGAAGUGUGGGCUGAGCGGACAAAGACAGUUCCCCUGAGAAAAAUUGAGGUCCUGUUACCAGAAGGGUGAAAUAAUGCUGGGCAGCAAAAAUAACACGUGUAUUUUUCGGUUUGCUCAGAGCCUGACAUGUAAGAAAUGUUGGGGGGAAAAAAGAAAGAAAAGAAAAAACCGAGUUGCACUGCCUGCAAGAACACCCAGGGGUCCCCUUCAUCAACAUUCACUCAUUUAACAAAAUUUUAUUGAUAUCACUUAAUUCCAGAGUCCAAAAGGACUCUGCUACUCUCUUGAUUUAAAAUGAUAAUGUAAGGGUGCCUGGGUGCCUCAGUCAGUUGGGGGUCUGACUCUUGAUUUUGGCUCAGGUCAUGAUCCCAGGGUCGUGGGAUUGAGUCCCACGUCGGGUCCCCACUGAGUGUGGAGCCUGCUUAAGACUCUCUCUCUCCCUCUACCCCUCUCCCCUGCUCAUGCUCUCUCUCUCACUCUCUCUAAAAUAAAAAGAAAAUUAAAAAUGGGGGGCCCCUGGGUGGCUCAGUCAGUUGAACAUCCAACUUUGGUUCAGGUCAUGAUCUCACCGUUCAUGGGUUUGAGCCCCACAUGGGGCUCUGUGCUCUCAGUGCAGAGCCCGCUUCGAAUCCUCUGUCCCCCUCUCUCUCUGCACCUCCCCUGCUCACGCUCUCUCUCUCUCUCUCCCAAAAAUAAACAUUAAACAAAAAUUAAAUGGCAUAAUGUAAUAGGUGAUACGUCUUUUCUAGAACAGUGCCUGCCAUUCAUUCAACAAUAUUGAUUGGGCUUUGAUUUAGCAUCGGAGAAGAGCUCAGCUCACAACUGUGAAUACCAUAGGUGACCCCUCUCCUCCUGGGGCUUGUACAUUCUAGUAGAAAGGAGACAGUCAAAAAGAACAGUUUGAAUGGAGACCAAAGCCACUCAUAAGGCUGAUACCUUAGGGUGAAAAAUCGAGUGAAGUGGGCCUCUUCUUUACUGAAUAGCCUUUUGUACCUUUGGAAUUGUAUACUUUUAUUAAUAAUUUAAAACAACAUUGAUUCAUUAUCUUUAGAAGUAAUGCCAUAGAGAUACACUGCAUCCAUUAAGUGGGUAAAGUAAAAAGUCUGGCAACGCCAAAUGACCCGGAGGAUGUGGAACAACCGAACCUCUCAUGCACUGACGGUGAGGAUGUAAAAUGCUACAACCACUUUAGAGGACUAUUUGGCAGUUCUUACAAGAGUAAAUCUACAACUACCCUAUGAUCCAGCAAUUUCACUUUUUUUUUAAAUUAUUUUAAUGUUUGUUUUUUUUGAGAGACAGAUCACAAGCAGGGGAGGGGCAGAGAGGGAAGGAGACACAGAAUCCGAAGCAGGCUCCAGGCUCCUAGCUGUCAGCACAGAGCCUGAUGUAGGGCUCAAACCCACGAACCGUAAGAUCAUGAUCCGAGCUGAAGUCAGGUGCAUAACCAACUGAGCCACCCAGGUGCCCCUAUUUUAUUUUAUUUUAUUUUAUUUUA